rnacentral:rRNA from 1 species
AGCGAACGCUGGCGGCAGGCCUAACACAUGCAAGUCGAACGGAUCCUUCGGGAUUAGUGGCGGACGGGUGAGUAACACGUGGGAACGUGCCCUUUGGUUCGGAACAACUCAGGGAAACUUGAGCUAAUACCGGAUGUGCCCCUCGGGGGAAAGAUUAUCGCCAUUGGAGCGGCCCGCGUCUGAUUAGCUCGUUGGUGAGGUAACGGCCCACCAAGGCGACGAUCAGUAGCUGGUCUGUGAGGAAGAGCAGCCACACUGGGACUGAGACACGGCCCAGACUCCUGCGGGAGGCAGCAGUGGGGAAUCUUGCGCAGUGGGCGAAAGCCUGACGCAGCCAUGCCGCGUGAAUGAUGAAGGUCUUAGGAUUGUAAAUUUCUUUCAGCGGGGACGAUAAUGACGGUACCCGCAGAAGAAGCUCCGGCUAACUUCGUG